AACCUUCAAAUUCCUUACCCCUCAGAUUUAAUAAUGGUCUGAGUGGCUGAAAAAAGGAGGAAAAAUCAAAUUGAAGUGGGCCUGGAGACUUUAAUGAGAUCCAAGUUCAUUUAAAAUAAAA
rnacentral:snoRNA from 1 species